AUACUACUCCCUCCGUCCCAAAAUUCUUCUCUUAGAUUUGUCUAGAUACGGAUGUAUCUAAUACUAAAACGUAUUUAGACAAAUCUAAGACAAGAAUUUUGGGACGGAGGGAGUACUAU
rfam:Triticum urartu cultivar G1812 contig258254, whole genome shotgun sequence.